CCUACGGGUGGCAGCAGUGAGGAAUAUUGGUCAAUGGCCGGAAGGCUGAACCAGCCAUGCCGCGUGAAGGUCAGUGCCCUAUGGGCGUUACACUUCUUUUGUGCGGGAGCAAUUAUGGUCACGUGUGGCCAGACGAGAGUACCGUACGAAUAAGCAUCGGCUACCUCCGUGCCAGCAGCGGCGGUAAUACGGGGGGUGAAAGCGUUAUCCGGAUUUAUUGGGUUUAAAGGGUGCGUAGGCUGUGAGGUAAGUCAGCGGUGAAAUGCCCCCGCGCAACGGGGUGAAGUGCCAUUGAUACUGCCUUGCUGGAAUGCGGAUGCCGUGGGAGGAAUGUGUGGUGUAGCGGUGAAAUGCAUAGAUAUCACACAGAACACCGAUUGCGAAGGCAUCUCACGAAUCCGCGAUUGACGCUGAUGCACGAAAGCGUGGGUAUCAAACAGGAUUAGAUACCCCUGUAGUC
rnacentral:rRNA from 1 species